GACGAACGCUGGCGGCGUGCUUAACACAUGCAAGUCGAACGGGCCUGUCUUCUUUUUUGGGGGUGGGUUGAGUGGCGAACGGGUGAGUAUCACGUGAGUAACCUGCCCUUCGGUCCUGGAUAACCGCUUGAAAGGGCGGCUAAUACGGGGUGGUCCGGUUGGUCCGCAUGGGCUGGUCGGGAUAGAUUCACUGUUUUUGGUGUUUCGGCGGGGGAUGGGCUCGCGGCCUAUCAGCAUGUUGGUGGGGUGAUGGCCUACCAAGGCGGUGACGGGUAGCCGGCCUGAGAGGGUGGGCGGCCACACUGGGACUGAGAUACGGCCCAGACUCCUGCGGGAGGCAGCAGUGGGGGGUAUUGCACAAUGGGCGGAAGCCUGAUGCAGCGACGUCGCGUGAGGGAUGGAGGCCUUCGGGUUGUGAACCUCUGUUUCCGGUGGUGAAGGCCCUGUCCGUGUGGUGGGGUUGACGGUAGCCGGGGAUGAAGCGCCGGCUAACUACGUG
rnacentral:rRNA from 1 species